GAACUGCAUGUGGUCACAGAGUCAGAGCCUUUGUGAAAUCACACUGGCAAGCAGAAAUGAGCAAAUAUGACUUCUUACCUAUGCUACUUUGUCUCACAGUGGGAAGUACAGAUGACUCCCCAGGUGAGACGGCAUUUGAUUGAGAGCUUAAAACAAGAGUUCCACAGAUGAGGAGAAGAAAGAAGCUUUCACUCCAGGCAGGAGGAACAGUAACUGCCAGGAAAGCUGCAGAACAGAGGUCUGAAAACAUAAGAGAAGCCAGGAAAAUGCAAGUCCUUCCUCCUGACCCUAGAAAAUCUCUGCUGCCAAGGCUGGGACUCUGCUGCCAACUUCAGGCCUGGGAAAACCAAGACUCCAGGAGCUCUACCUCUAGGAUUCUUCCAAACAUCUCACCAUGUCCUCUGAUACCUCUGUAGUCAUCUGCCACAACCUACUUCUGAAUAAAUCCUACAUUCCACCUUUCUGUGCCUGUACCCAAGAAGCCAAAUGUUGAUGGAAAA
rnacentral:lncRNA from 1 species